rnacentral:rRNA from 1 species
UACGUAGGGUGCGAGCGUUAAUCGGAAUUACUGGGCGUAAAGCGUGCGCAGGCGGUUCGUCGUGUCCGAUGUGAAAGCCCCGGGCUCAACCCUGGAACGCCGGUGGAUACUGCCGGGCUAGAGUCCGGAAGAGGCGAGUGGAAUUCCUGGUGUAGCGGUGGAAUGCGCAGAUAUCAGGAGGAACACCAAUAGCGAAGGCAGCUCGCUGGGACGGUACUGACGCUGAGGUGCGAAAGCGUGGGGAGCAAACAGG